UCAGAUUGCGGUGAUUGACUACCCACAAAAGGUGAUGUGUUCUAAACACAGUACUGUAAAACAUUUACUGAUUCAAAUUUGAAUUUCAAAUUUAAAUGCAUGCUGUUGUAUCAUAUUUAGAUCCUAGUGUAGGGUUAAUUAGUAUUAAUUAAUAAGAUUAAUUAAUAAUUCUGCUAUAAAAUAGUAAUUUUGAAAAAGUUUUAAAAUUACCAUUUUGCCCCUGCACUAAAUUUUCGCUUCAA
rnacentral:lncRNA from 1 species